rnacentral:lncRNA from 1 species
UUUGGUCCAUAGCUGGUUUCCUUAGCAGCUUGAAGAUUUGAUAUCUAUCCCAUCCUUUCCAAAUUAUUUCCAUAAUAUCUGUUUAGCUCUGAAUGCCUGAAUUAUUGCCAUGAGUAUCUAUUUGCCUGCAAAAUUCUGGAAUGUUAAAAGAUGUAGAUUUUAUCUUGGUAUGAAUGUUUUCCCCAGUUUAUUUAUCUCACUUUAUUGUUAUUAACUGAACCUGAAAUUUAAUUAUUCUAACUUCUGUCAGUAAGAUUUAACCCCUUUCUCUAAGAGAAUGUCUAUAAUGUUUACAGUAUUCUUUCAAUAUUUGUGAUGUGGCCUUCACAUGGCUAAUACCAGCAAAUUAUUCAGCUUUAUCUAAUUUUAGUUACUACUUUAGAUUUUAUUUGUUUGGUCAUUUGUUGUGAAAUUUUGAUACAGUAUGGUAGUCUAAAAAGUAAAACACACACAGGCACAAAUAUCGAUUGAGACCACAAUAGUGGUUAAUUGAUCUAAAUUGACGUUGGAAAAGAAUGCUAGGGUAUAUAGUUUUAGAGCCACUAAUAGAUAAUAGUCCACUGUAAUGCGGCUACCUAUGUCUCUCAAAAGCUUUGUAAAUUUUUCUUCCAAUAAAUAAAAAGAACGCUUUGAAUGAGGUAUAAGUUGCGUUGUAGAAUCUGUUUGUGCCACUUGUGAAGUUAUUCAGUCCUAUUCAUGGAUUGUGCUGGAAAUUUCUUUGCUUAAAUUUUUCAAAAUUUGAGAUUUGAGUUUUCCCCAACUAAGGGAGAAUGAAAAUAUGCCAGUUAAGAGAUUGAGUGAUCUUGGACUUUGUUUUAUAUCUUGCGGGUUAGAUUGUAACCUUUACAUAUAUUACACUAUUUUGUGUUAUUUAGUGUAUUUAUGUUAGUUUUGUAUUUUACUUCUUUUCCAUGAUAAGAUUCCAGGCUUAUUAGGGUUUUGGGUGUAGUUAUAAGUAAUUAAAUACUAAGCUGUUUCCGUUUCUAGUGUCUUUUUCAUGAUGGAUAUUUGAGAUUAUGAGAUGCUGAGGUUUGUGGUUUGUCCAAUAAUUUUUAUGGCUUUGUAACCCCUACCUGUAUUUCACCCCUGAUUUACUCAUAAUUGCUUCAUCCUCGCUAUCUUUGAUCUUUCUUCGAGGCUUCUAUUUUUAUGCUUAAAGAGAUGUGGCUCACGUUGUUAAGGUUGUGCUAUCAGAUAUGUGUAAACUUGGUGGGCUUGGUGUGAUUAUUCGGGAGCUCGAUCACCCUGACUCAGAUGUAAGGAAAUUAUCUGCAUGGAUACUUGGGAAAGCAAGUCAAAAUAAUCCAUAUGUACAGAAGCAGGUACAUCAUCUUCCCUUUGGCUUAUGAGCUAGGUAUAUUCGACAUCAACUAACUUGCAAAAAAUUACCUGUCUUAACUCUUAGGUCCUGGAACUUGGGGCAUUGGCAACAUUAAUGAAACUGGUGAAUUCUAGUUCCGCAGAUGAAGCCACUAAAGCAUUUUAUGCUGUUUCAGCCUUGAUCCGAAAUAAUGUGGCUGGUCAGCAAUUAUUC